AUAUCCCAAGGUCACAGCCUGGAAGGUAAGCGCACCUUCAAGGUUCUGGAUCUUCGUGGCUCUGGAGACAUGCUGACACUAGGCCGGUGCCUCUGACUGAAGUGUCGCGAGAGAACACGGAACAUCGGGAGUAGCGGGUUAGCUGCCAGGGGUUGUGUAUCUGGCGAGCUGCGCCUUUUUGACGCCAACUCCCUGGGCGAAGAGCUCGGAAAAAGUGACGCAACAGGCUUUUAACAUUGUAAACCAAACACAUUCUACAAAAUCAGGAAAGCUCAACAAUGCCUCUACUUUCUAAGGUGACUGAAGAGACUCACGUCAUUGUGCGGAUGUGCUGCAGAGAGCAUCCUAACAUAAUACACCACUGCUUGUUACGGAAGCUGCUCUUCUGUGGACAGGAAGCCUCUAUGACGGCCCAAUACAUCACUGGCACCAGCCUACCUGCCGCGAAGGACUCUCCAGUGUUGACUAUGAUGAUUUCCCCUAAUGUGCAGGUCUUUACAAGAUCACGAGCCUUUCAGCAGUGGACAUUGAGACAGUCUUGACAAUACUGUUCUGGAUGUAAUGGUUAUCACAGUGCUUUACAGAACAGGCGACCUGUACAAACAAAAGAAAAAUCUGCAGAUGCUGGAAAUCUGAGCAGCAUACACAAAAUGCUGGAGGAACUCAGCAGGUCAGGCAGCAACUAUGGAAAAAUGUACAGUUGACGUUUCAGGCCGAAACGCAGGCCCCCCCACCCCCCACCACUGCCUGUAAGGAGUUUUUAUGUUCUCCCUGUAACCACAUGGGUUUCCAUCGAGUACUCCGGUUUCUUGCCACAGUCCAAAGACGUACCAGUUGGUGGGUUAAUUGGUCAUUGUAAAUUGUCCUGUGACAGUUGGAGGUUGCUGGGUGGGGUGUUUGGAAGGGCCUGAAGAGCCUACUCCACACUGUAUCUCAAUAAAUAAAUAAUAUUUUGUGUCUGUAGUUCACAAUGAUGCUGCAGUGCAUUAUAUGUCCAUGGAAACUUCCCUGCCUGAAGCAUUAAUUGUUCUGUAGUUCCAAUGAGCCCACUGAAGAAACCAAAUCAAUGUUGUUUCUGAUAACCUUUUUUUAAUUGAGUGCCAGAAACAGAAGAGAUGCAGGCUGUACAAUUUGAACUAUUUCUUCACCUUUCUUUUCCAAUAUUUUUAUUAGUUUCUACAUAGAAGAAUACAGAGUACAAGAACAUGUAUA